rnacentral:ncRNA from 1 species
GAGGAUAGAGGCGCGGCGCUCAUGCGUACCGCGGGACAAGGCCAGGCAGCCGUCCCGUGGGAGAGGGUGCGCCGCCGAAGGUUUCCUUGGCCUGCCUGGGCGGGGGGACCUGGGCCGCGGGAGAAGAUCCCACGGACUGUCACAGAUUUGUGGAGCGCUAUCC